GUCAGCAUGGCAUAGUGGUACAGAUGUUGGAUUAGGGCUCCAAGAGACCAGGAUUCAAAUCCCUGCUCUGUCA